AACGAGAUUCCCACUGUCCC
rnacentral:snRNA from 1 species